UAGCGAGGGGGGCGAGCGUUGUUCGGAAUUAUUGGGCGUAAAGGGCGCGUAGGCGGUUCGGAUAAGUCUUGUGUGAAAUCUUCGGGCUCAACUCGAAGUCUGCACAGGAAAACUAUCUGGCUUGAGUGUGGGAGAGGUGAGUGAAUUCCUGGUGUAGCGGUGAAAUGCGUAGAUAUCAGGAGGAACACCUGUGGCGAAAGCGGCUCACUGGACCACAACUGACGCUGAGGCGCGAAAGCUAGGGGAGCAAACAGG
rnacentral:rRNA from 1 species